rnacentral:rRNA from 1 species
AGUGAACGCUGGCGGUAGGCCUAACACAUGCAAGUCGAACGGCAGCACAGGAGAGCUUGCUCUCUGGGUGGCGAGUGGCGGACGGGUGAGGAAUACAUCGGAAUCUACUCUGUCGUGGGGGAUAACGUAGGGAAGCUUACGCUAAUACCGCAUUCGACCUACGGGUGCAAGCAGUGGACCUUCGGCCCGUGCGCGAUUGAAUGAGCCGAUGUCGGAUUAGCUCGUGGGCGGGGUGAAGGCCCACCAAGGCGACGAGCCGUAGCUGGUCUGGGAGGAUGAUCAGCCAGACUGGAACUGAGACACGUUCCAGACUCCUACGGGAGGCAGCAGUGGGGAAUAUUGGACAAUGGGCGCAAGCCUGAUCCAGCCAUACCGCGUGGGUGAAGAAGGCCUUCGGGUUGUAAAGCCCUUUUGUUGGGAAAGAAAUCCAGUUGGCUAAUACCCGGUUGGGAUGACGGUACCCAAAGAAUAAGCACCGGCUAACUUCGUGCCAGCAGCCGCAGUAA